ACCUGAGCCCAGGCCCAACCCAGCAGGCAUAUAUGUGCAGUAGGCCUCCUCUGCCUGCACUAUCAGGAGCCAGCCUGUGCUGGGGAGGCCUGAGGAGGACGUGGGGAUGUGUGCACCCUGAUGAGCCACAGCUUCAGGAAAUUGUGGGCUCGCAUCCACACUGAAAGGAGCCCCUGGGCCUCCUCAGGACCCACGGGGAGGCUUCAGGAAGAUGUGGGCCUGUAUCCACGCUGACAGGAGCCCCUGGGCCACCUCAGGACAUAAGUCGAGGCUUCUGGAAGAUGGGGGCCGCAUUCACGGUGACAGGAGCCCCGGCCUCCUCAGAACCCUCGGUGACACUUCGGGAGGACGUUGUGUCACUUCGACACAACAGGAUGCUGACUCCUGUUACCCCCGGUGUUGACUUGAGGAAAUAUGAGAUGCGUCCAUGCAGACAGAAGACCCCAGCCUUGUCAGGCCUGUGGUGAAGCCUAAGAAAAAUGUGGGUGCCACAUCCACACUGACAGGAGUCUCCAGCCUCCUCAGGACCCACUGUGAAGGUUUGGGAAGACUUGGGGCCACAUCUAUGCUGACAGGAGCCCCCAGCAUCCUCGGGUCUUAUGGUGAGGUUUGAAGAAAAUGUGGGGCCACCUCAACACUUAGAGGACCCCCGUCCUCCUCAGGCCCUGCACUUUGGCUUUGGGAAAUAUAGGGCUGCGUCUAUGCUGAUAGAAGCCCACAGCUCCUCAGGACGCACGGUGAGUUUUCUGGGGGAUGUGGGGCCAUGUCCAGGCUGAAAGGAGCCCCUGGCCACCUGAAGACCUGCUGUGAGGCUUCCAGAUGAUGUGAGGCAUAGUCCAUAGUAAGAGGAGACCCAGCGUCCUCAGGACCCGCUGACUAUGACUCAGGAAGACGUGGGGCCACGUCCGCACUCACAGGAGCCCUGCUUCCUCAGGACCCCCUGGAGGACUCUGGAGGCGCUGUUGGGGGUCACGUCCACAUCAGAAGGGACUCCUCAGAACCACAGGGGGCCUGGGAUGGCUGGACGUGUUCGAACGCUGAACUUAAAGCGGAAAGGCCUUCAUUUUCUCAGCCUCCUUGCGUCCCAUCCCAUCUAUCUAGCUCCUUUCCCCUUCCCCGGACCUCCUGAGAGAGCAAUUGCAAAUGACCUCAGCGUGGCAGCGUGUGUUGGACAGGACCAGGGAUUUGGGAUCAGGAAGACCUGGGUUGUGUGCACCCCGGCUGUGCAGCAGGAUUCGAUGCUGCAGACUCUUAUUCCCUAAGGCUAUCUUGACAACUGACUUUUACAUAGAAAAGCUGUCCUUUAUGUUUAAAAGAUGAGGAGCGAGUCAAAGCCUUUUUUCUCUGCCCAUCUGAUUGCUCAGAUUCCAAUCUGAGAUGUAUUUCCUGUUAAUAAGGAUAAUUUACUAUCCGUAGUACUAUGGUUAAAAUAUUCUGACACACAAGUAAUUCAGAGGAAUGAGGGUUUCUCAUCUCCUUCUUCACAGCUCAGUCACUCCUCAGGAAAUGCAUCUUUAUGGAUUGAUUUGGAAAGAACUGAGAGACAUUAUUACCAAUGGUCCUAUUAUUAUGUGAAGGAUUCUUCCCUGAGAUUCUUCCCCUGUUUCAACUGACACUGAAACACUGAACUCUUUUGAAGACAAAUGUCAAGGAAAUAAAUGUUAUGCAUUGCUAAUUUUAAUUGCA
rnacentral:lncRNA from 12 species